rnacentral:ncRNA from 1 species
GAAUCCGACUGUUUGAUGAAAACAAAGCAUGGCGAGUACGGGAGCUGACCGUGGUACUGAUGUGAUUUCUGCUCAGUUUUCCAAAUGCCAAAGUGAAGAAAUUCAAGAAAGGGCGGGUUCACGUGUUCUUUGUGGUCUAUUCGUACUUCUUGCUUGGUUUUAACGAGAUUC